AUUGAACGCUGGCGGCAUGCUUUACACAUGCAAGUCGAACGGUAACAGGUUAAGCUGACGAGUGGCGAACGGGUGAGUAAUGCAUCGGAACGUGCCCGGUCGUGGGGGAUAACGCAGCGAAAGCUGCGCUAAUACCGCAUACGAUCUGAGGAUGAAAGCGGGGGACCGUAAGGCCUCGCGCGAUCGGAGCGGCCGAAGUCAGAUUAGGUAGUUGGUGGGGUAAAGGCUCACCAAGCCAACGAUCUGUAGCUGGUCUGAGAGGACGACCUGCCACACUGGGACUGAGACACGGCCCAGACUCCUACGGGAGGCAGCAGUGGGGAAUUUUGGACAAUGGGCGAAAGCCUGAUCCAGCAAUGCCGCGUGCAGGAAGAAGGCCUUCGGGUUGUAAACUGCUUUUGUACGGAGCGAAAAGGUCUCCUCUAAUACAGGGGGCUCAUGACGGUACCGUAAGAAUAAGCACCGGCUAACUACGUGCCAGCCGCCGCAGUAA
rnacentral:rRNA from 1 species